AUGAGCAUGUGAUCGGUCCUGCUGCCACAAAUGUUUUCCCUCUAGGUCCAUAUCUGAAUCUCACACAGACUGACUCACUCUGCGGCCGCACACGUCACUACUACCCGGCAGCGUCAGGCUGUCAUUUGUUUCCUUUUGGAACGGGAUGUUCUAUAAUAGCUCCAACUCCCACUCCAUAGUUUAUGAAAUUGCAGUUCUUUCACAUACUCCUUUGUUCCUGAGCAGCCAGGAGUUUUCAGUUCGUUUCUAAGGUGCUAAAAGAGGAUCAGAGUGGCCUGAGCUCAGGGAUGCCUCACUCGAAGCUCUAACAGGAUGUGUCUUUUUAUAGAAUGAAGGUGUGAUGGUUCUCAGUGCACUGUAGAGUUUGUUCUUCAGGAAGACAAAGGAAGCACAGUGCAGAACUGUUGCUUCUGGUUUCUCUCACAGCCAGGGAGACACUGUCAUGGACAUGGAAGCUGAAGCUCUGGAUAUCCUGAUGGAGCCAUGAAAGCAGAACCAGCUCUGCUUCAGAGUUUCUUGCUAUGACGCUCAAAUAUGCAACACUUGUUUUUCAGCACUGAUUAGUUUGACCCUCAGCUCUACAAAUCCUAGUCUACAUCUGUGUCUUAUUCUGGAACAGACCCCAAAGUCCUGGAGCUGUUGUAUCUCAGCACACAAUUGCAAAAGGAGGAAUGUGAAGUGCUUCCAGCAGUGCAGCAGAAGAGAGGAAGCUGCAGUCCCCCAAGGUUCCCUGCCCACUUAAAGACCAUGUUCAUCAGGAUACACCUGCUGAGUUUCCUGCUGUGAACAUCUGACAGGCAGCUGAUACCAAAGGACAGAACCCAGGGAGCAGAGAGCCAAAGAAUGAAAGAGAAGAGAUGCUGGACAGAGAAUCCUACACCUUGUCUAGCAAACGAAUGCAAAUGCCUCACCUGCCCUUCUGACUCAGCUCCUUCCAUGGACAACAGACCUUUAUUUACUGUGGAUGAGGUCCUGGAAGUAUUCUGUUAAUAUUUUAGAGCAUCUGUGGAUGCACACAGAUGCAUCAACAACACCUUGCUCAUUCAUGUAAUUUGACUUUAUUUUUACUUACUGAAGGCAUUAAAAAAUUAACCCAAGCAGCUGUUCAGAUGCCUCUAUUUUUUUUAUGCAGCAAAGGGAAAAAAAAGUGUGAACAGCUGUGUCAGUGGAACACAUCCAGGUGGCAUCCCUAAGGCAAAGUUUCUACAAAACCUGUAAGAUAAUGUUUUUACUAUCUUAGUUAUUUUAUUUCUUUUUUAUUACAUUGCUCUUGUUGAUUCUUAAAGAGGUAUUAGCUACUUAUUUCUUCACCCUCGUCCCUCUGUGUUUGAGCUGUGCUGUAGCUCAACACAGAUGUUGCAGUGAUUCAGCCAUCAAAGGGGAAAAUCAGCCUUUCAGCAGAAUCCUUCUGAAUCUAUUCUGGGGUCUUAAAUAGGAUGUAUGUCUGGAUAAGGAGCAAUUUUACAUAUCUGGCCUUUCUAUGGGGAGAAACUCAAGAUAUGGCACCAAAAAUUGCCUUAGGGACACUCAAGAGCAGAGGGAAUUUGUUUUCCAGGUUGUAUAACUAAGUCAGCUGAUGUAGUUUUGUUGCAGUUCCUUGACAAGGUAGCUGGGUCAUCCUCAAGGAGAAGGAGAGGCUAAGACUCACACAAGAGUCUGAAAGAGCAGCUGUUUGGGACUCCAACAUGUGUAGCAUUGGGGAUUUGGAAAUCACUGGUCAAAUUCUCAGCUGGGUGAUGCUGAAAUCUGUAUUAGGUUCACUGACAAAGACACAUGAAGAAACUCCCUUACUGAAGUUCUGAAUUCCUCAGCUGGAAUCCCAGAAGUCUCCCAUUCUGCAUGGAGUAAAUUUCAGCUUUCUAAACUCUGGUGCCCUUUCCAUGCAUUUACUCUCAUGUCUCAACCAUGAGAGGCUUCCAGACACCAGGUCCAAGCUCUGCAUUUCCUGGAACCACACUCCCAAUGUGCCCUAGGCCAUCACACCACAGUCCAAACCCUACACCCUGCCCAGUCAUCCAGGGCUCAUCUGUUUGGUGCCUUCCAUAGAGAGUGUGAUUCUGUUGCUAUAAGGCAGCUUGCUGAAUUAUGGAUGUGCUAUCCAUAAACUGAUGGUUGGUAUUUUCUGCCCUGACAUCAGUCCUUGGAUUAUCAACUCUGCAGAACAAAGUGAAAACACUGAAAUGUCUGAAAAUUGCCAGCCACAUCACAGGUGUUACAGGAAAUUAUAUUCAUAAUAACGAAUAAUAAUAGCAAGGACAACUGUAAUGAUUAAGCAAUUUGUUGCUGUUACUAUUCUUUCUCUUAUUCCCACAAUAUUUGACAAAUAUGGGCUCUCCUCUCCAGAGAGCUCUUGAGACUGAAGAAAUGUUUUCAGGAGACACAGAAUACAAAGAAAAGUGUUGCUUUUCAGCUUAUAGCAUAAUGAUAGUAGAUAGAUAAAUGCCUGAAAUCUGUUUCUAUACCACUAAGAGUUUUGUUUGUUUGUUUUUUAAAUUAGCUUGAGAAACAAAUUAUGUAAAAGUAUCUGUACUGUCCUGAGAAGGACUGUCUUCCAGAGGAAAGCUCAGCAGAAUCAUCCCUGAGUCUAAAAGAAAAUUUCAUUCUCCUCUAAAUCAUUCCCCUUUGGUACAUUCUCUUCAUAUUUAGUAGGUGGAUGCAAUACCCUCUAUAUGUACUAAGCUUGUGUUAUUACAGUUUGAGCACGAUAUAUGUUUAUUUGGAGUCUAACAAGAUCAUCAAUCAGGAAAUACCACUGCACUUCAUAUUAUGUAUUUAUUUAUGGUGUUAGGAUGAAAUUUACCUGGGUCCAGAGAACAAAAUUAGGCUGUUACAGCCCUUGGUUUCAUAUAAGUUAUUUUCCUCUCAAUGCCUAUGCCCUGUGGACACAAAUUUAUUUUUCCAAUACUAGAUGAAAAAUCUCCCAUUCUUUCAUUGCCUCCAGGUAAUGAUGUCUAUACCUUUCCUUCUGCUUCCAAUUUUGUGUCCAUUACUUGAAUGCUUGAAAACAUGAAAUACAAUACCAUAAGUCACAGAGCAAGAAAAUCUGCAGUGUUUAGGGAAUAUUUAUCUUCCUUUUCAAUUCUUUUGUAAUUAAAGAAAUUCUAGUCAAUCAUUUGAUAUCUUCAGUGACAUUACCAUACUCCUGAUCUUAAACUUAGGUGCUGGUUAGCCAUUAGAAAGAAGGAAUAUUUUGCAGACAGGUUAUGGGAUGCAGAUUUGGAAAAUCUCAGUUCUUCUCCGAAGUAUGUCACACACUGAGCAAUGAAAGAUGACUUUAAAUGGAAUGUGCACUAAUAAAUGUAAAUAUGAAAGUGGAAAAUUACAUCACAAUACGAGAGCUCAAUGUAGUUAAUCAUAACAGUAAUUAUCUUAAAUAAUACUAAAAAUAUCAGUGAAAAACAUUGAGAGACCUUUGUUAAGUGUUCAAAUGUGUUCUGAUUGCUGUAUUUGACAACUCUGCAAGAACUUAAGUCUCAGAGACUUGGAAUCUCCAUGAGAUUAGAUAGUAUUUGCAUACAAAAUGCAGGAGUGAAGUUAAAUGAACAAAUGGCAAGAUUAUCUCAAAUAGAAGUGUUAUAAAACCAUUAAGCAUGUAAAAGUUGAUUCAGUUAAUUGGCUAAGGCCCAGUAAAGAUUUCACAACACUAUCAGCAGGGUGUUGAAAUACUUUAAAAAAAAACCCAAAAAAAAAACCCCAACAAACCAACAACCCAGCAACUAACAGCAUGAUUUCAGAGAAGCACUGCCAUUUAAGAAAUACUCUCUUCAGUAUUUAUUAGAUAAGAAACUGUUUAUCAGCAUGUGCGUAUGUUCUUCCUGGAAUCAAGGUCCAUGCAAUUUAUUUCACAUGCAGCAAUAUUCUCUCAGUGCCUUGCAAUUUUUCCAUGCUCAAGUACCAGGAAAAGUGGAAGGAAGAGGCAUAUACCGUUACAAAGAAGUAUAUCACAUUUAUAUUUACUUAGUGAAUUGUGCUAAGAUAGACAUGCAAUCACAGUGUAAUGAGUUAACCAACAGGAGCUCCUGGCACUUCUUGUGCAGAGAGGAAAAAAAAAUCUCAUAGGAACAUGGAUGGAUAGGAAUGUGUCAAAGCAAGGACACAAGGAAAGGUAGCUCAUACAGCUACUGAUACAAAAAAAAAAAAUUAACAUUGUGAAAUAAAAUAAAUAAAAAUGAGGUGUAACCUAUGUAAAGCAAAUGAAAGAUCUGCUCUGAACAUGCAGUAAAACUCCAGUGUAGUUGUA